GGUAAGUACGGGAGACGACACUCAUACAGGGAACGAUGAUUGAGUAGUCGGUGGAAUAAAUUCUGAUAGUCGAGGCUUUGAGUUAAAUGAAAGUGGAGAUGAAGACUAUUGGAUGGAUGAGGACAGUAGCAGUAAUGAUGAUGAUGGUGAAGAUGAAAAUGAUUAUGAAGAUGUUCAGGCUAAUAUUAAUGUGGGAGAACUCAAUCUCGUUUGCAUGAACCUCCAUAAUUUUUUAACGAUAUAAAUUUAGAUGAUGGUG
rnacentral:lncRNA from 1 species